ensembl:lncRNA
AUGGACCUGGACCCCGCCGUCAUCAUCCCCGCCAUCCUCUUCACCGUCGUUGCCAUUUAUUUCGCUACGUCGCUCCUCAGCAGGAAGCCCGACGCCUCCUCCUCGUCUGCCGGGAGCAAGAAGUCCAAACUCGGGUACAGAGACGACCUUCCUCCGCAAGGAGCUCUGGAAGAAGAGCCCGAAGCCUCCCUGCGACCAGAGCCCCCAGCUCCGGCUGUGGAGGACAUAGGAGCCGCCGAGAAGAUCCAGGCUGUCCCAGAACCACAACAUGUCCCUGAACCAGUGAAGAUACCAGAAGCUGAGCCAGAAGCAGCAGAAGAUCCAGAGGACAGAGAAGCAGUCACAGCACCAGAACCUGUGGCACAACCAAAAAAAGUGCCAGAGACAAGAACAGAACGACCACCGGCCCCAGAAGCAGUCCCUGAACCAACAAAAGAGCCAAAGUCUGUUCCAGAACCAGUCACAGUAUCAGAACUUGUCUCUGAAGCUGUGUCAGGCCCAGAACCUGUUCUUGAACCAGAUGAAGCACAAGAAGCAGCACCAGUGUCUGAACCCAUACCAGGCUUGGUAUCAGGCCCAGAACAAGCUGCAGAACCUACCCCAGAGUCCAAACCUGUAGCAGAGCCCUUAUCAGAACCAGCCAGGUCCCCUGAACUCGUAUCUGAACCCAAAACUGUCCCAGAACCUGUUACUGAUCCAGAGCCUGUGCUCGUGUCUGAAGUGGCAGCCCAGAAGCCCGCGACUGAACCUGAAGAACUGCUUGAGCAGAUGCCCGGACCCAAUGAAGGUCUGACAGAACCAUCGCGUGAGCGGGAACCCGAACCAGAGACCGUCCUGGAUGACGAUGUGGCUGCAGCUGCUGAUGUGCUGAACUUCACCCCGGGAAUGAAACAGAGUAAGGUGGCAGUGCUGAUGACCCAGGAGGACAUGGAGGAGGAGCAGAGAGCCGACAGCAGCUGCAGGAGAGACGUCCCUCAUCUGAAGUCUGGGUUUCUUCAGAAGAACAAACAUGUUGAUAAAAGGAAUUAAAUGUGCUGGAGGAACAUAAUUAAAGAACAUCUGUAAUGAUUUGAUUAUUUGAUUCAAUCUGCAAAAUGACGAUAAAAUAAACUCUGAGAAUCAGCUUUCGUGGAACCACAGAAGCAGUCAUGUGAUUCGUUUCAGCUGCAACUUCAAAAGAAAACAGAAAAUGUUACUGGAAUUUAAAACGAGUUGAAGGCAUAUUAAAGCAGUGCGCGUAGCUAUGAUUUUCUUAUUUCUUUCAUUGUGACUGUGGAGUCUCCUCUGUGGGGAGGGUCUGUGUUUGUGUCUCCUGUGGACGUUCGGGUCCAACUCUUGGUUGGGUCCCUGCUGACGCUUCAUGUGGAGAACAUUUAAAACAUGUUUUUGUGUUUUCUGCCCACGAGUGGGCGUGUCCCAACUUUUAAUCGUUUCCUGUCUCUGCAGUGAGAUAUUCUGCAUGAGGUGCCGAUGAUUGAUUAUUGAUCGGUCGAUCCAUGUGACUGACGCGCCUCUCCCCCUGUUUCACGCUCAUUCCUCUGCUGUUGGUCACAUGGUCUGUGUUUACACCCAGCCCGCCGCUCCAGACAGCGGCUGCUUAUCCUCUUAUCAUUAUUGUCCUUCACCGUCUCUUAACAGGAAGUUCAGCCCCGCCCCUUUAACCUCCCAGCAUGCACCAGUGUACCGACUGAGUGUGACCCAGUGUGGACAAAAGGCAGCCGAUGUGGGUCACAUGUUCUCCGAGGGGAUAAGACGUCCAUACAGGAAACACAAAGGAGACGCUCUGCACCUCCAGCUGCAGCAGGAGCGCGCUCAGUGUUGAAAGGGCAGAUUCAUGAGUUUUUAAUCUAAAAGAAAAGAGUGCCGGGGUCACGUGACCACGCUGGGACUGACGUGAGUUUCCCGGGCUCCAGGGUUGGACGAACUCUGGGAGCAUUUUCACAGAAGUGUGAUGGGAACUCUUUGAGUCAUGUGAAGAAUCCAGAUUUUAAGAUCAGGCUUCAUGCUGCAGUCACAGCGUGGACACGUCCUCAGACUCCCCUUCAUGUGGUUCGGCCCUGAUGUGCGCUGCCUUCUUUACCUCAGACAGGUGAGAUGCUCCUCUUCAGUCCAGCCGCUCACCUCAGACAGUCGGCUUUCAUUAGCUCUGUUACCUCUGCAGAUUAAUCCCGUACUUCAGGGCUACUGCCUGUUUAUGGAGGCAGAGGUGUGUUCACCCUGCGACUCGUUACAAUCAUUUGAUUUGGUUUUUAUUCCUGGGACUGUUUUGUAUUUCCUACCAACCCGUCUCUUUGUCCUGGAAGUAUCCGGUUGUCCUUGAUUCAGUCUCCAGCUUUCACACACACAUUUUCCUGACCUGCAUGAACUACUGGAACACUUUGUUGCAGAGGUCACAGUAACUUGAUUUUACUGUUCGUCUCCCUCACAGAUGAGCGGAGCUGCAAACUUUGAGUUCAUCUCAUGAAGCGCUCAAACAAAAAGGCCUGAGAGCAGACGCCCGUCACAGCUGCUGCCUCGUCCGGAGCAGUUUAAUUUCUGGGUGUGGACUUUGAUAUCACUGCUGCUGUGAUUCUAGCAGCGGGCUGCCAGACUUCAUAUCAGCCUCCUGCAGAAACUCGACUGUGCAGCAGACGUCAGCGCAGGGUUACAAUGAUUCGGACGGGAUCGUGGAGGCGCUUAAAGACAUAAAAACAGAGGCUGAAUCAUUUAAGCCAAACAGUUCAGCACAUUAUCCAAAGCACAGGAAACCGUGGCCCAUAAUUAGUGGUUGCUGUUAUGGAGAAAACGAGCAGCGAGGACCUUCGUGUUUGAUGGAGAGUCCUCCGCCUGCGUCUGAGCGGCCGAGCUCAGUUUCUUUUAUGGACUUUUCCAUGAGCCAUGAGCGCCCUCCUCUGGUCAAACACAGCACACAUUUAAAAGAACCAUAAUAAUACAUCUUAUUAAUAUAUCAGCUGUCACACAGUCACAGUCAGCCUGGACCAGGAGACUGAUGGACACCACAAAGUCACCUGUAAACACAAAAGAAGAUCAGAUUGAGAAUAUUAAAAAUAAAACCUGGUUUAAAACUGAAAUGAAGAAUAAAAAUCAUUAAAUACAUGAUGAUUCAUGAUGAUGUGAACUAGAGUGAAUCAGCGGGGAUGGUCGCCUGAUUUAAAUGGCUAAAUUACCUCCUCAACAUGUCCUGAAGUUCUCUCGAGGCCUGGGGUUCCCCACCCCCGUCAUAUGGAGUUCUUUUAUUACACGCCGACUGUGACGAGCAGAGAGCUCGGCGGCGUCAUCGCCAUAUUUGGUAAAAAUUUCUAAACAUUUUAGUGGCACAUGUUCAGGUGCUGUUAAAAUAUAAUAAAGUUUUAUUUUUCCACCUAAAGCAGGGGUGGCCAACCAGUCAGAGACCAACAGCCACUUUUUUUUUACUGUGUUACCGCAAAGAGCCACAUCAUACGCAUGGGCACACAUGAACAUCACCCAUCCUUUCCUCCCCUCUCUCUCUCUCUCUCUCUCUCUCACACACACACACACACACACACACACACACACACACACACACACACACACCUCUGCUCAGCCAGAUUUAUUGUAAAUGUCACACACCAACAUGAUAAUGACAGAAAUGGACUCCUACAGUACUAAAACCACAGGCCAGUCAUUUUCAACAAUGAACGCUGUGUGCACUGUCUCACACACAAACUCUCAGUUCAACCAAGUCCACAAACAAAAAUAUAAUAAUCUACAAUAGCAUUUACUUUUACAAUGCAUGUUGUUUAGUGGGACU